AGCUGCGCCGAGGCAGUGCAGGCGGGCAGGCGGUUGCCAUGGCGGCGGGCGGCCUGGCUAGAGCAUCAUGACUGGGUCCGGCGGGAGCAGGGCUGAGGUAGAUAGAGCCCUUCUGGAGCUUUGCCGGGCUGUCGGCCGCAGAGCGUGGGCGCGGUCCUGAGCUCGGGCCGCAAGACGCAGCGGGGCCUGGCCGCUCCUAGGGCGAGGCUCCAGCAGGGAUGUCGGCCCGACUAAAUAAGGAAAACCUUGGACCUCAGCCGGCGUGACCCAGAAGAGUAGCCAAAAAUCCCAGUUCCUACGAAGACUGACGUUUUACGUUGCGGGGCUCCUCAAACAGGAGCUACAACAGUGCGUGGGGCGUGGUAGGAGGUUGCGGAAUAAACGUUAAUUAGAGACUAAUUGAGGUGUAUCCUGGGGUUGGAGAUUUCUGUUGGGGCUCAGAGCUGGCCUCUAGGGGAAGAGUCUCGACAAGAAUUUUAUGGAUGUGUAAGAAUUGACUAUGUUUAAGGGACAAAAGGUUGGUCCAGCGGCCUGGCCUGAGGUUGGCCACACAUAGUGACUGCUGGAGAAGUGUUAGGGAGUAGAGGGUGUGAUGGAUGUGGGCCUCUAGUGGUACUUAGGGAGGGGAAAUUGCCAGGAGGGGUUAAAACAUUUGCCAUUUCGGCAGUUUUGCCUUCUGAAAGUAACAGGCAAAUCUCACUGAGAGAUCAACAUCUUGAACCAGGCUUAACUAGUCUCUUUUUAUAGAUUAUCACACUUAAUUCUUAGUCCAGUUCUCUGGCGUAGAGCCAGACCUCUGUUUUACAGGUGAGGAAAGAAGCUUGGAGAUGCGAUGUAUUUUCAAGGUAUCACAGCCUAGACAUCAUAGCUUAGGUUUGGACCUUUGCAGUGUUGGCAACCAGGGUUGGAUCAAAAAUGUUAAGAGGAGAUUGCAGACUGCAGUAAUUUGUCUCAGGAUUAACUGAUUCCAACCGGUUUUUUUUUUGUUUUGUUUUGUUUUGUUUUUGUUUUUUUCCCCCAAGACAGGGUUUCUCUGUAUAGCCCUGGCUGUCCUGGAGCUCACUCUGUAAUCCAGGCUGUCCUGGAACUCAGAAAUCCGCCUGCCUUUGCCUCCCGAGUGCUGGGAUUAAAGGUGUGCACCACCACUGCCCGGCUGAUUCCAACCUCUUAGACUUCCUGGGCACUUCAGCCACAGUAGUUCUUGCUGCAAUUCCCUCAGGAACUUGUUAAAGUAGAAAUGGUCCCUUUCACUGGUUUUUAUAAUGGGCUUGGUGACUUCACCCUAGUAUGGAGCUGAGAUUUGGGUUCCUAUGAUUGUGUUCCUUGACCACUGUAGCAUUUGUGGUGCAGCUGUCUCUGGAGAUGGAUCCCCUUUUGCUAUCUAAUAGGAUCCACAGAAUUGCAUCUGAUCCAGAUUUAUGGAUGCUAUGAAUGAGGGCACUUCUUUCUCUCUGCUACCUGGUAUCUGUAGGAGUCAGGUCCAGCUCCUGUUGGCUCCUUCUUCACCCUCUGCUGACCUCCCAGGAGCUGUCUAGGGAAUGAAAGAUGAGAGCCUACAAGUCUGUGGGCUCUGCUCGGCAGUGAAGCUUGAGCGGUUGCCCUGGGUUUGGUACAAGGGGUUUUCUGAGAGCUAAUAGCUUGACUGACUUCAUACGGUUCUCAAGAUAUUAGCCCCUCACAUUGUGGGAAGAGACAUCUGAUAGACCUCAUGUGUGGACAGAUGGGUAAAGAAUUCACAUUUUUAUUUCUACCUCCAACACUGCUUCUAAGAGACUUAACCGGCUGAGGCCUCAGGGACAGGUGUUGAGUUCCCCCUACUGCUUCUCAAGGUCAGUUUGUGUCCAGUAGGUUGUCCAUUCUGUAGACUACUGCAGAUCAGAUAGAUGGUUUUCUCUGAGGACCAAGGACACAGACAGCAACCUUAGGCUAGUGCUUAGGUGCCCAAGGAACAUUGCCUUCUUUCUGAUUAUCAGACCCCUCUGUAUGUGUGUGGCUCUUUGGCAGGACGGCUAUGUCUGGUAGCAGGACAGCUGGUCUUCUGAGAGCAUAGCUUCCCAGCGUUUCUUGGCUUAAAAUCAUGCUGCUGCUUAAGAAAGGUGACGUUCCUGGAAGGGUGCUGCUACUUAACUCACUCUGAGCUUUACUGUGGAUCAUUUAAAGCCUUGCUAUUGUGAAAAGUAUGCAGAACAGAAUAAUGAACCUCACCCUUCUUGCCUGUCAUUCCUGUCUUAUAUUUCGAGCCAAAGACCAGCAUCUUAUUCUUUUAUCUAUUUUAACACUGAAAACACAUCUAAACUAGGAAACACUUCCUUAGGUUUAGUGGAUGUCCACUGUGUACAUUUUUGUGAAGCUGACCUCAAACUCACAGAUCUGACUGCUUCUGCCUGUCAAGUGCUGGUACUAAAGGUGUGUGCCACCAUGCCCAGCUGUUUGGGGUGGGUUUUUUUGUUUGUUUGUUUUUGUUUAGACAUGUAGUACAAAUUGGCCUUGAACCCUCAAAUAUUUGAUCCUCCUGCCUCAGUCUUCCUAGUGCUAGAAUUACAGAUGUGUACUAUCAGGCCUGACUCUGGAUUUUUGGUAGUUUAAUUUAGGGGCUGAAUUAGGUCUACCUAGUACAGUUAGUUGAUGGCCUGAAUCUAGCUGAUGGCUACACUUUUUCUAGUUCUCUUUUUCUACUUUUGACUUUGAAAAAAACUAACUCCUGUAUCCAGUUUCUGACUGACUGAGCUGUGAGUUGUUGGCUUCUUGCAUGUCUCUGUCCUCUGUGUCUCCAGCUCUGUUGUGGUGGGUCACACCUCUUUCAAGGUCUCUGGGACCUCUCUGGCUAGUGACUACAAGGCAGGACAUUCUAUUGUUGAAGAAAGAUCUCUGGGAUAUUCACCUGACACUAGGUAUAAACUUAUUUUUGGCUUCAGACAUUGUUGUUUUAGAUAUCAUUUCUGGUGACAGGUACUAUACAUUUUUAGAUUUUGAGUUUGAGGCCAGCCUGAUCAACAUAGUUCCAGGACACACCUAGAGCAGUGUACAGAGACCCUGUCUCAAAAAACAAAACAAAACAAAAUAGUAGGGAGGGGAAUAAGUAGGUAUGAUGGUUUAUACUUGUAAUCUCAACACUGGGGGAGAUUGAGACAGGAGGAUUUUGGAUUUGAGGUCAGCCUAGGCCAUACACAGAAAUAUGUUUUUAAAAAAAUCCAAAACCCUCAAAGCAUUAAAAAACCCCUAAGAGGGCUGGAGAGAUGGCUCAGCAGUUAAGAGCACUGACUGCUCUUCCAAAGGUCUUGAGUUCAAUUCCUAGCAACCACAUGGUGGCUCACAACCAUCUGUAAUGGGAUCUGAUGCCCUUGUCUGGUGUGUCUGAAGACAGCUACAGUGUACUCAUAUACAUAAAAUAAAUAAGUCUUUUUUAAAAAUAACCCUAAGAAAAGUUAAGAAUAGGUAAAUCUAAUGAGAUAGAAAAAGAUUAAUAGUGUGUUGAGGGUAGUAGUCAAGGACCGUUGGGCUUCUUUGUGGAAUGAUGAAAACAUGAAAUUAGUGUUGAUGAUUACCCAGGCUUGUGAAGGAAGACACUAAAAAUCAUCAAAUUGUCAAGUUUGAAAUGUGAACUUUAUAGUAUGCAAUUUUUUCCUGAAUUUUGUUGUUGAUGAAAAUAAGCUUUAAUUAUACCAAGUAAUAAGUUUAUACAAAAAUAGAUUUUGGUCACUGGGAGGUCAGGUAUGGUAGUACAUCUCUAUCAUCCUAACACUUGAAGGCAGAGGCAAGAUGGUUGCUACAAAUUGGAUCCAGCUUGGUUCAUGUAAGGAGAACCCCCUCCUCCCAAUUUUGAGAGGUAGGAGAACAAGUCUGAGGGGAUUAUCCAGGAGACACACUCUUCCUUGUCUGCUUUCUCAGAGGCUUAUGCUGGGCUUUAGGUGUCCUUUCUGCCAGUGCUGUCUUUCUGUGGGGUUGUGGUUUGAAGUCUCUUUGUUCUUGUAUUGACUUUGAAACUAAGACUCCCAGGUGUUGAGGUAGUUUUUAGAGUCAUAGACUGGUGUGUCACAAAGAAGUAAUAUGGUCAGAGAGUCUUGCAGCUGACCCCCAAGACUGCACUCAGGCUGGUUAAUAGAUGGCAAGGAGUAGAGAUGACAGUGCCUCCUUUUGUGGGCCCUGGAACUCACUCAGGGGAUGGGAUAGAUUGUUGAGGUACUUUGUCCCUAGUUAGUUUCUUUUUUCUUCUUCUCCCCACCACCCCUGCCACUCCCCAGAGAUAGGGUCUUACUAUGUAGCCCAGGCUGACCUUGAGCUGAUAGAGAUCCACCUGCCUCUACCUCUUGAGUACUGGAUUAAAGAUGUGCACCACUACGCCAGGCUUCUUGAAGGUUUGCUGUGUGCUCCCUUGGGGCUCCUAAGCUGCCUCUGCUCCCUGCCCCAGUUCUCUGUCUGGAGGAAAGCAUGGGACUCUGUCAUCAGACUUAGGUUUAUGUCCCAAACCUUGCACUUCCAUGUGACUUUGGCUCAACCAAUCAGCCUCAAGUCUUAAUUUCCUUGCCUAUAAAUAAAUACCUAAGGGGUAUUAAGGGUGAGUUGGGGGCAUCCGAGGUAAGGGAUUGUGGUGCAUGGACAAGUUCAGGCACUGGCACACGAGCACUACAGAUGUUUCAGUAGGUCCCCUUGUCCGUACCUACCAGCCACCAACAGGAAAUGUACCUGAAGAGCAUCCUGCUGCAGACAGAGCAGAGAGCCUGAAUGUGGGAUGUGUGCUCAGGCCAGGUGCUGUACAGAAAGAGAGACCAGUGUGACCAGGCAAAUUCUUAUUCAUACCUCAGUGUCCAGGUCAGGGACACCAUACCUCAGUGUCCAGGUCAGGGACACCAUACCUCAGUGUCCAGGUCAGGGACACCGGAAGUCUGACCUCAAAGAUAAGAUGCCUUUAGCAUUGGGAGGAUUUAUGAGACCUACUCCUAGCCCAGUACCCUCUCACCUCUAUGGGUGGUGUGGGGCAUGUGUGAUGGUGGUGUGUGUGUGUGAUGGGGUUCUUGCUCCAUUGCCCAGGCUGGUCUUGAACAGGCACAAGAAAUCCUCUUGCUUCAGCCAGUAUUGGGACUAUAGGCAUGUACCAAGUAUGCUGGACCCCCUCUAAUUUUUAGUUUUGUUUUUUGAGGCAUGAUGUCACCUUGUAGCCCUUUCUGGCCCAGAGUUCGCUAUGAACCAUCUCAGCCUCCUGAAGCUGAGCUUACAAGUACGAGCCACUAUACCCAGCUUCUUUGUUUAGUUUUUUAAAUUUAUAUUUGCUUUAAAGUAUUAUUUUACUUUAAUUUUUAUAUUUUAUUUAUUGGUUUUCAAGAUAGGGUUUCUCUGUGUAGCCCUGACUAUCCUAGAACUCGCUCUGUAGACCAGGCUUGCCUUGAACUUAGAAAUUCACCUGCUUCUCCCCUCCUGAGUGCUGGGACUAAAGAUGUGUGCCAUCAUGCCCAACUCUAGAUUUUAUUUUUAUUCAUGUGUAUCUUUGGUGUGCUUGUGUGACUGCAACAUAUGUGCAAGUACCCCAAUAGGUGGGUGCCAUAUCUCCUGGAGCUGAACAACAUGGGUGCUGGAAACUGAAUUUAGGAUCUUUGGAAGGCAGCACAAGCUUUGAGCUCCUAGCCACUUCUGCAGCCCCCAAUUUUUUUAGUUUUUUUUUUUGAGACGGUCUCAUGUUGGCCUCAAACUUACUAUGCACUGAAGAUAGACCUUGAGUUUCCUAUUCUGCCUUUACUUCCCUUGUGCUGCUGCUGACACUGCACAUGGGAGUGACAGUGCCAUCCUUUUUGUUUUUCUUUCUUGCCUUUAUUUUUCUGUUUGUGUGUGUAUGUGUGUGUGUGUGUGAGAAAGGGUCUUACUGUCUCAUUCUGUAUCUCUGGCUGGCCUGAAUUUAAUAUAUAGAGUAGGCUGGCUUCUAACUUGGCAUCAUUUCUGGUGCUGGGAUCACAGUGGAAAAUCAACAUAUUUAGUUUUCCCCUUAUUAAUCUUAGCUUCCAUGUUGUCUUUUCAUGUCCUGGAGGGCAUGUAUAAAGCAGUAAGGCUGUGUUGAGAUAGCACACUGUGGUGUCUGCUAUCUCAGUUCACCUUAUUCUUUGAUUUGGGUGAUGAUAUGGUACUGCCCUGCAUUCUGCUCUAUAUGCCAGUGAACCUUGGGAGGUUUCAGGAAAACCAGAAUAUGUGUAAACCUCCAUUUUCCCUUCCUGUUUUUUUGUUUCUGUUUUGAGGUAGAGUCUUGCUAGAUAUCCCUGUCUGGCUUUGAAUUUGGCAUCAGUUUUCCUGCUCUGUAUCCCAAUACAUGGGCCACCAUGCUAGGCUUCCUCUUUUGGGUUCUCUAAUAGCAUUCUUUUUUUUUUCCAUCAACAGUGGGCAAACAGAAUGUCUCCACAUGGGCUCCCUAUGUAGCCUUUUUCUGCCUUCUCCGGCUCCCAUUUUGUGACUCUCAUUGAGUUAUGCUUGGACCUCCCUGAACUUUCCCAGAGCAUACGGGCCCAUUCUGCUACCUCCUUUAUUUUCUGUCCCAAGGUUUCUGCUGAGAGGGAGGGGGGCAUAGUGACCCUGGGUCCUGAGGGAAACCCUGCCUGGGGUUGGGUUUCAGCUGAGGAAGCCAUUUUGGAUGGAGACACAUUUUCCUUUCCGGAACAUUGUGGUGGCCAACAUCAGCAGCAGGAGCCCAGACAGCGGCCCGCCUAGUGCUUUGGAAUGAAAACACUCUGCUUCUCCUGCUGCCUUCUGGGGUGUUGGCUGUUUGGGUUCCAUGCUUAGGCCUGGCCUGCCUCAGCUGUCUGUGUGGCUCCAGCUGGCCUGGUGUGAGCACCACAGGGCGUGAGCAGUCUCUCAGAAGGACGAGAUACAGCUGGAAAAUGCAGCUCAUGUCUUUUCUCGGAACACCUCGUUCUUUCUGGCUUGGCAGAAGUCUUUUUCAUAAAGAGGCCUUGUGAUGCCCAGGCACUAAUUGCCAAGGAAAGUGGUGUACUUAGGGGUCAAGGUAGGCAGUUCUUCUCCGUGGCACUCCUAUGGGUUGGAUCCUAGCAAAAUGUAGUAUCCCUAGUGCUAGGAAGGCAGGUUGGAUCCUGUGGAACUAUCUUGGGAAGAGCUUUGUUCCUCUGGCAGUGGCUAAAGGCAGUGUCUCCUGGUUGCAGCCUUUAGGGUAAGGAUUACAGUAAUAAUCCUUACUGUAAGGGGCCACCUUGCAGCUUAGGAGUAGAGAGGUCUCAAGGGGCCUAAGCCUCCAUGCUGCUCAUUGCCUGGGUAUUGAGCUGGUUCUUGCUGCUGUCCAGGUCUGCUUCCCAAAUAGUUGAGAUAUGACUACAGCUGCACUGAGGCCCCUGUCCAUUACAGGACACCACAGGGUCUUAGGAAACCAGGGCAGCAACUGAGUCCCAUCAAGAACUUAAGUCUACUGGUUGUUGUUAGACAUGUCAGGUAGUGUGAAGGAAGAGGCAGGCUCUUUGAACCAUGGAAUCAAGGUUGGAGCAGCUCCUGCCUUUGCUGAGUGUAAUGGGACAUUAGCAGCCACAUAUGGUCCUGGCAUUGUGUACAUGGACAUCAGGAUGUGGUUUGGAGGGAGGCAAGUGUCUCUAGUGCUGGUUCUUUUCCUUCUUGUGGUCUGAUUGAGUGGCCUCCAUGCCCCAUUCAUGUGAAGGUGAGUGAGCCUUCCACCCCUAACUGGUCUUAUUAACAUGGGGACAGUGGACAACUCUUGGAAUAGCCAUUUCUUGGGCUAGACUGAGCUGUUCUCUCAAUAUUAGGAGGACCCACUGCCUGUCACAUUUCUUCUGGUUUUGGGGUCUGAGUCUUUGAUUACCGCUCUUGCCUAUAUAGGUCCCAAGAAAAUCUUAGUCAGGUAAUGUCACCCCUGGCAUCUCAUACUGGUGAUAGUUUAGUUGUGGGAGUACUCAGGACUAUAACGAAGGGUUCUGUAAGGACAAAAAUACCCUACAGAACAUCUUGUAACAAUGUGGGGCUUAUUCUAUCUCCGUGCCCUGGAACUAUGAGGUCCUGUAGCCUGGUUGAGGGCCUCUUAACAUGGACAUCUCCACUGCCUGAAUACUGGUGUCCUUUCUGAGCUCCUUACUAUGUGUGUGCAGAGUCCUGGUUUGAAGCCAGGAGAGAGAUGGGCCUCAAGAUGCAUGCAGAGUGAUGGAAGGCAUGGCUGGCCUCUCUGACCCUUCUCCCUGGACUAACAAUUGGUAUAAUCCGGAGACUACCCCAUCCAUACUGAUGCCACUGUGCUAGGCUGUUUCCCUCCCCCGCCCCCCCAGCUCGCUCUCUUAAACUUGAAUUCAUUAAUUUAAACAUCAUUUCCGGCCCUGGAAGCCAGCCUUGCUUGCCAUAAAUAGAAGGGAACAAAAAGCAAAGAGAACAAAAACAGAGUGAGGAUAUUACACUUAACUGGCUCUGCUGCUAGGCUACAAAAGGCCCAUUAGUGCUGAAAGGCACCCAGAGUGAGGCCAGUCUAGGGGCUCUGUUCCUCAGUCUCUGAGACCUAAGACUGUGCCUACAUGGUGGUUUCCAUUUCCUUCUGUCCUAUCUCUGGUUGGAAAUAUUUGUGGGGGAUCAUCCUUGCUGAUUGAAGGGACUCUGUUCUCCCAGGGAGAAGAUGAAGCUGGGCCUCAGGGGCGGGGGGUUGGGGGGAGGACUGGGGGCUUUCUCCUUACUCUGCUGGCCUAGCCUGCCAGAGGGAGGAGGCAGCUGGCUCCUGUGGGAUGGGUUACAUAACAUCCACAAAUGGCCCCUCAGAACUGUUCCCCCUGAGCCCUGUUUCCAGCAUGGCGGCCAGCAAUGGGCUGGUGGGGGGUGGCUGGCACUCACCCUCCUGCUGACCACAUGUGUCUGGAAUGUGCAGAUGUUUCCUUUGGGGCUCCAGCUGGCCCUUACACCCUCCUACCCCCUACAUCUAGACUAAGGAGCGGGCACCUAGGCCACUCCCCACAGCUGAGGAAAAAACCAAGGUUGCUUAGCUCUUGGUCUGGGCUGUAGCUUGUGGGCAGCCUGUUGAGAGCCUUCUAUUGCAGCUCUGGAAAAAGGUUGGUCUUAACAACUGGCCCAUCUUAGUAAGGGCUUGUACUGUUUACAGUGACCCUCCUUGCUCUCCACCUUUGCAUAGACCUAUACACUUGCCUUUAUAUUCUUGCUAUCCUUGUCUCAAAGAUUUGCCCUGAGAGUGCCUGCUUUCCCUGUCUCACAGUGUCACCCCAACUUGUGUAGCCUAUGUGUGGAGACCCAGGGAGCACCCUGUUCCUCUUUAUUAGAGGAAAAUUGAGAGUCAGAAACAAGAUGUCUAAUGGGGUAGGAGAGCCCACAGAUAUGCUUGGAAAGCUGAAGUCCCUUUUUUUUUUUAAUAAUUUUUAAAUUUAUUUUUGUUUUUUUUUUUUUGUUUUGUUUUUUUGUUUUUUUGAGACAGGGUUUCUCUGUAUAUCCCUGGCUGUCCUGGAACUCCCUUUGUAGACCAGGCUGGCCCUCGAACUCAGAAAUCCACCUGCCUCUGCCUCCCAAGUGCUGGGAUUAAAGGUGUGUGCCACCACGCCUGGCUUAAUAAUUUUUAAAAAAGAUUUAUUUAUUUAUUAUAUUUAAGUACACUGUAGCUGUCUUCAGACACACCAGAAGGGGUAUCCGAUCUCAUUACAGAUGGUUGGGAGCCACCAUGUGGUUGCUGGGAUUUGAACUCAGGACUCUGGAAGAGUACUUUUAACUGUUGAGCCAUCUCUCCAGCCCCUGAAGUCAUCAAGUCAGGUAGCUCCACAGAGGUGGCAAUAUUGGGAUCUAGUCCCACCAGAGGGUCUGAUCUGGAAGGCAGGGUGCUCACAUGUAUGGAGUAUGGAAGUUCUUUAUUCACCAUUUCCAGCAUAGUCACCCUUUGUGGACCAGGAGAGGGGCAGCAGACAGCACAAGCUGGAAACACUCCACAUCUACGUGGAGAUUGAAGUUCUGUCUUUCCUGGGAAUGCAAGCAGUAUGAUGACCUGCCAUAUGAGGAAAUAGUAUGGACAUUUGCCCGUUGCCCCAGUGCGUGUGAGUCCCAGUUCAGCUUCUCUCUAGCUUUGACUAUUGUGUCUUCUGUAAGUGCCUGGGUUAGGUCUUUUUUGUUUGGUUUGGUUUUGUUUUGUUUUUUGAGACAGGGCUUCUCUGUGUAGCCCGCUUACAGUGUUCUAGCUAGGCUACCUGCUACCUCCUCAUGGCAGGUAAAGGGCCUGUGGUGCUGCCCCCUACUUCUGUGUGCCUUCUGCCAGGAUACCUUGUGCCUGGCUUUGUUUUAUCUCAGAUCCUUACAGAGAAUCCAAAUAUGGUUCCUGGGCAUCAGACUACAGUGACAUCAUCUGGCAGGAAGUCAGGCCUUCAAAGAUGAGGCUAGUCAGGUUUGGCCAUAUUUUCAGAACAGUAAUGGCAACAACAGAUGGGAACAUGGAAAAUUUCUGUUCAGGGUCUUUGGACAGGGACCUCGUGUGUCUCUCCACUGUCCCCACAUCCCUUCAUACCACCAUGUCUGUUGGUGCUGUUCUCUAGCCCCAGAGAUAUGAGUCAGAGUUGUGUCUAAGCUGUCUUGUUUGGGGAGUUUAGCUGAGUAGUUCCCUAUGGCCCCAUUUCUUUUCUAGUUAAUAACCCAAGUCCAGAUGAGGUCUGGGGACCAGUGCUACAAAGCAGCCUUUCGGGAAGGGGCUUCAGUGGAGAGCCUGGUUGGAUGAGGGAUUGAAGUGUUCUUAGAUAACGAGGGGUCCCCAGUACCCUGAGGCUGAUGUGCAUCAGCUGGCUUCUUAGGUGACCCUAGCAACUAACACUCAGGGUGGCUUUCUAAGAAAAUGAAAUUUGGAGAUAAUUCCUCACUUCCUUCCUCUUCGUCCUCUAAUCUUGAAGGCUAGGCUAGAAAGCCUCCAUGUUAGGGACAAAAGUAUGAGCCUGCCUAUGUUGGUCUCUAUUCCUACCUCACCAGCCUUUUCUCAGUCUACAUCCUGGUUUCUUCUAACAAGUUCAGCGUUUUCUGUUGUUGUCAUCACUAGCCACUGGACAGUCUUUGCUUAGGUCUAACUGAUAGUUCCCCUGGUAUGACCAUUGCCUCACAUGUAGGAGCUUGGAUAGUGGAGGUGAGAUGAGAAUUAGCAAAGGGCCAGGGUGGUGUCUGGGAGAUUAGUUGGGGAUGGAGGCCAGGCCAGGAAGACUUGGUCACGUCAUGGCACCGAGUUCCUGUGUCAGUCUACAAUCAGUUCAUUGAGAUGGUUCUUAUUGAUCUUAGUACAGGUUGCUUUGAGUGCUUCCACAGGAUGUGUAAUGUUUUUCUUAGUCUAGGGUGACAGAUGACAGUGGAGCAGCCAGUACACAAGGCUGUUACAUGUGCAUGCCUAAAGACAGCAUCUUGGAUGGUUCACAUCCUAUGAAGUAGAGAUUGAGCUCUGCUUAUUCUUUGUUGUUGUUGUUAGUUUUGAAACAGGGUCUUCCUUCAUAGCUCUGGUUGUCCUAGAACUCACUGUGUAGACUGGGCUGGCCCCAACUGGGAGAUGUGCCUGCCUCUGCCCUUCAAGUUAUGGGAUUAAAGGUUGUGCCGGCGCCUGGCAAGUUGCUUCCACUUAGGUUUUUUCUCUUCAAUUCUGGAAUGGAAUGAAGGACAUCCUUUGCAAGAAGCAUGGUCUUUUGUUUGUUUGUUUGUUUGUUUUGUUUUUUUUGGGGGGGGAGGGGUUGAGACAGGGUUUCUCUGUAUAGCUCUGGCUGUCCUGGAACUCACUUUGUAGACCAGGCUGGCCUCGAACUCAGGAAUCCGCCUGCCUCUACGCCCACCCCCCACACCCCCCCGAGUGCCAGGAUUAAAGGCGUGUGCCACCAUGAUGCCCGGCUCCUUUUUAUUUUUUAUGAUUUAUGUAUGUUUUAUUUUAUAUGUAUGAGUGUUUUUCCUGUAGUUUUUCAGUGCCCCACAUGUGUAUAGUGCCCACAGAGGACAGAAUAGGUCAUUGGAUCCCUGAAACUAGAGUCCCAGGUGGUUGUUAGCCACCAUGUGGAUGUCAGGGGGCUGAACAUGAGUCCUCUGCAAGAGCAGCAGUGCUCUUAACCUCUGAGCCAUCUCUCCUGUCCCAACAUUUCUGGGGUGGGGUAAAGAACAAUUUAAGUUGUCACUCCUGAGGAAUACAGCAGCUGGGUGUGGUAGUAUAUGACUUUAAUCCCAGCACUCAAGAGUGAUGGAUCUCUGUGAGUUUGAGGCUAACCUGAUCUACAUAGUGAGUUCCAGGAUAACCAGAGCCACAUAGUGAGAUCCUCUUAAAAAAAGAAAAACAAAACAAAAAAGGAAUACUGUCCACCAUGAUUUGAGGCAGGAUCUCUUCUUGCUAGCAGGUUCCAGGGAUCUGCCUGAAUUUACCUCCUUGUACUGGAUUACAAAUAUGCACUACCACACCUGGCUUCUUUAUGUGAAUUCUGGGGAAUAAACUCAGGUCUCCCAUCAAGCACUUUACAGAUUGAGCUAUCUCCCCACAUUCUAUUCCCGCAUGUCUUAAUUCUUCUCAACAGUACUUCUAGACAAACCUUCAUAGCAUCUUUUUUGAAGUCUGGGGUGCCUUUCCUCCCCAUUUUUAUGCGUAGGUGGUAUGCUUGUGUAUGUUUGCAUGUGUAUACAGAUGGAUGUAGGAAAUCCUGAGGUUGAUGUUGGGAAUCUUCCUUGGUCAUUCUUCCAUCUUUCUUUGAGGCAAGGUCUCUAAUCAAACCCAGAGCUCGUCAGUAUGGCUAGUCUCACCAGCCAGAAUUUAUGAGGGUUCUGGAGAUGUAAACUUCAGUCCUCUUGCUUCUGAGGCAAGUGCUUUCAGAAUGCUGAGCCAUCUCCACAUCCUGAAUGAAGGGUUUGUGAUGGUUUAUUUGGAGAAAUUUGCUGUGUGUCAUCACCAGCACUGUGGUGCGGGGUUAUCCAGCAGGACUCUUCCUUAGACAGCUCAUCUUAGUGCCCCUAUGGCAUCUUGUGAACAUUUGAGGAUCCUCUACUAGCAGCUGGUUUCUCCAGCCCUGGUAAACCCUGAAUCUUACGUAAAAAA